GGUGCGUAACAUGUGGAAUCUGCCUUUUGGUUCGGAACAACAUGGGGAAACCUGUGCUAAUACCGGAUAAGUCCUACGGAGAAAGUUUUAAUGCCAAAAGAUGAGCCCGCAUUUGAUUAGCUAGUUGGUGAGGUAAAAGCUCACCAAGGCGAUAAUCAAUAGCUGAUUUGAGAGGAUGAUCAGCCACACUGGGACUGAGAUACGGCCCAGACUCCUACGGGAGGCAGCAGUGGGGAAUCUUGCACAAUGGGCGAAAGCCUGAUGCAGCGAUGCCGCGUGAGUGAAGAAGGCCUUUGGGUUGUAAAGCUCUUUUGUCGGGAAAGAUAAUGACUGUACCCGAAGAAUAAGGUCCGGCUAACUUCGUGCCAGCAGCCGCGGUAAUACGAAGGGACCUAGCGUAGUUCGGAAUUACUGGGCGUAAAGAGUAUGUAGGCGGCUAGAUAAGUUAAUUGUGAAAGCCCAAAGCUUAACUUUGGAAUUGCAAUUAAAACUAUUUAGCUGGAGUAUGAUAGAGGAAAGCGGAAUACAUAGUGUAGAGGUGAAAUUCGUAGAUAUUAUGUAGAACACCAGUUGCGAAGGCGGCUUUCUGGAUCAUUACUGACGCUGAGAUACGAAAGUAUGGGUAGCGAAGAGGAUUAGAUACCCUCGUAGUCCAUACCAUAAACGAUGAUUAUUAGAUGUGGGGAAUUAUUUCUCUGUAUCAUAGCUAACGCGUUAAAUAAUCCGCCUGGGGAGUACGACCGCAAGGUUAAAACUCAAAUGAAUUGACGGGGACCCGCACAAGCGGUGGAGCAUGUGGUUUAUUCGAAGCAACGCGCAGAACUUACCAACCCUUGACAUGUUUGUCGC
rnacentral:rRNA from 1 species